rnacentral:rRNA from 1 species
UACGAAGGGGGCUAGCGUUGUUCGGAAUCACUGGGCGUAAAGGGCGCGUAGGCGGCUAGAUAAGUCGGGGGUGAAAGCCUGUGGCUCAACCACAGAAUUGCCUUCGAUACUGUCUGGCUUGAGACCGGAAGAGGUUAGUGGAACUGCGAGUGUAGAGGUGAAAUUCGUAGAUAUUCGCAAGAACACCAGUGGCGAAGGCGGCUCACUGGCCCGAUACUGACGCUGAGGCACGGAAAGCGUGGGGAGCAAACAGGG